rnacentral:rRNA from 1 species
GGCUUGCCUCUUGGGGUUGUAGGACAUUCUAUACGGAGUUACAAAGGAACGAGGUAGACGAAGCGACCUGGAAAGGUCCGUCGUAGAGGGUAACAACCCCGUAGUCGAAACUUCGUUCUCUCUUGAAUGUAUCCUGAGUACGGCGGAACACGUGAAAUUCCGUCGGAAUCUGGGAGGACCAUCUCCCAAGGCUAAAUACUCCCUAGUGAUCGAUAGUGAACCAGUACCGUGAGGGAAAGGUGAAAAGCACCCCGGAAGGGGAGUGAAAGAGAUCCUGAAACCGUGUGCCUACAAAUAGUCAGAGCCCGUUAACGGGUGAUGGCGUGCCUUUUGUAGAAUGAACCGGCGAGUUACGAUCCCGUGCGAGGUUAAGCUGAAGAGGCGGAGCCGCAGCGAAAGCGAGUCUGAAUAGGGCGUUUAGUACGUGGUCGUAGACCCGAAACCAGGUGAUCUACCCAUGUCCAGGGUGAAGUUCAGGUAACACUGAAUGGAGGCCCGAACCCACGCACGUUGAAAAGUGCGGGGAUGAGGUG